rnacentral:rRNA from 1 species
UACAGAGGUCCCGAGCGUUGUUCGGAUUCAUUGGGCGUAAAGGGUGCGUAGGCGGCGGGGAAAGUCUGAUGUGAAAUCCUGGGGCUCAACCCUGGAACUGCAUUGGAUACUUCCUUGCUAGAGUACUGGAGAGGAAACUGGAAUUUACGGUGUAGCAGUGAAAUGCGUAGAGAUCGUAAGGAACAUCAGUGGCGAAAGCGGCUUCCUGGACCAGCACCGACGUUCAGGCACGAAAGCGUGGGGAGCAAACAGG